AUGGGAAGCGUCGGUGGAGAGGAGGAGUUCCCCGCCGGCGUGACGGGGGCGGACGCGGAGGUGGGGGCGCUAGUCUGGGUGCGCCGCCGCAACGGAUCCUGGUGGCCCGGCCGGAUCCUUGGCCAGGACGAGUUACCCGAGAACUGCGUGGUUCCACCGCGCUCUGCAGGCACACCCAUCAAGCUCCUCGGCCGCCCGGACGGCAGCAUUGACUGGUAUAAUCUCGAGAAAUCUAAGCGUGUGAAGGCAUUCCGGUGUGGUGAGUAUGAAGAGUGUAUAGAAAAAGCGAAAAUUUUGGCUCGCCAGCAAAAGAGAACCUACAAUGAAGGAAAGUAUGUUCGCAGGGAGGAUGCCAUUAUGCACGCCCUUGAAAUAGAAAGAUCUCGCUUUCCAGAUGAAGAUGAGAUGGACGAUGCUAUGUGUGCAUCUGAGAACAGGUAUUCUGCAAACUCUAGAAACAUAGGUGGAGCCAGCAGAAUAUCUUCUCGCGUUGAAAGGGGUCUGUAUGAUAUUGAAGAAAACUCAGCUCAAGGUUUAUCUGAAGCGUCAACAUUUUUCAAGCUGCCACAAAAUAUAUCCUCUUCAAGUACUAGGUAUGCUUCAUCGUCAAGGAAGAAACGGAAGGCAUCAAACAAAUUUGAGGAUGACACAGUCAAAGGAUUCCGGCGUAUGAGAGACCUUAUUGGAUCAAACAGGACCCCGAAACAGAAGUCAAGUGCUGGUUCUUUUUCAAAUGGGUAUCAUGAUUUACCUCAUCUUGAAAGUGGGCCAAGCUUUGGCUAUGAGUUGCCUAGCACAAAUGGAAUAAACAAGAAUAAGCAGUCUCAUUCAUUGACAAAAAGGAAACGCUCCAAUAUUGGUCAAGCUUAUGAAAAUUCAAGAAAGAAAGAUAAGCGACGUCCUUUGUCAAAGUUAUGUAAAGAUUCAGCAGUGAAAGUUCCAACAUAUUGGGACGCUUCAGGACAGUCUUCUGUCCAGUCCCCUGGACACAAACUGUCGAACGUGUUUGAAUCAAAUUGGGGGGGAUUUUCUUUGCCAGGAAAUUUAAAUUGUUCUUACAGCUCGGGCACUUCAAGUGUGGAGACUUUAGCAGAUGCCUUAUGUACUAGUCGCAAUGGUGCUACCAAAGCUUCUAAACUAAAGGAAGCUGAAGUCUUGGACGGGACUGGGUUUCUUAGUGAUGGCUGCUCUGAUGAUGAUGAUGAGUUUCUUGAUGCUCACCGUACUAUGGAGGAUGAUGUCACAGCAGAAGGCCAUCUGCACACACAUGGAUCGUGUGCAUCUGUAAAGGAUGAGACCUUAAAAGGCAAGACACAAAUUACUGACUAUAGCAGAGAACACAUACCCUUACUUCGUGAUAAUACAAGUUCCAAGAAGAAAAACAUACAGGUAGCUCCAGUAAGCUGCAACAUGGAUGAAAGUUUGAUGGUGGAACAAUAUGGAAGGACAAUAAAAUGCAAGGAACAAGAUGAAGAUGUUACUGGGUUGGAUGCACGAGUCGGAAGUGCUAGUGAUCCUGGGAGUAGCAUGAAAUUUGUGCUGGUUCCUCCAGAUGAUGGUGCUGGCGUUAUGGGGCAACAAUAUUAUGAAAGCGGACCCGAGCAUGAUGAGUCAUUUGAAACUCUAAGCAACCAUUCACACUCUGAAAAGGUUGGGGCAGCAUCCCCAUAUUAUGGGUCACCGCUUAAAGUAAUACUGCCUGAGCAGAAACCUGAUAUGAAAUCUACAAGAUGCCAUGUGGUAAAGCCAAUGAAGAGUGUACAAGCAGACUAUAAACUUUAUGAUGUUGAGUUGGCAGUCGAAGGAACCUACAAGGGCCACCGUGCACCUCUUGUUUCUCUGACAAGUAAAUGGAACCGUAAACCUGUUAUGGGGUUUCCUGUACCUGUUGUUGUUUUGGAUGAUAGUUGUCCUGUGGAAAGUAGAGAUAAUCACCAUCUGGCAAAGAACAGUCUUACCAACUUGCUAAAGAGGAGCGAAGUUGCAGAACCGCGCCAGCCAAGAUCGGCACAUUCAUCUAAAUCAAAACUUGGUGGCCGUAAAAAGGUCUCGGAGCAUGAUAUUGAUAAGUCCUGGCGGCCACAUACCAAGAAAUCAGCAUCUUCACCAAGGAAAAUGCGCAGGCUCUCAUCUUUUGGCAGCAGCCGUAGAGAAAGCUCAAACAGAAAUACUGUAGUUCGAAAAAUUGGCGGGCCAACUAUUGCGUGCAUCCCGGUUCGACUUGUUUUCAGUAGGAUCAAUGAAGCAUUAAGCUUUCAUGUGAGAUCAGAGAACACUAGCUGA
rnacentral:rRNA from 1 species